rnacentral:rRNA from 1 species
UACGUAGGGGGCAAGCGUUGUCCGGAAUCAUUGGGCGUAAAGAGCGUGUAGGCGGCCCGGUAAGUCCGCUGUGAAAGUCCAGGGCUCAACCCUGGGAUGCCGGUGGAUACUGUCGGGCUCGAGUCCGGAAGAGGAGCGCGGAAUUCCCGGUGUAGCGGUGAAAUGCGUAGAGAUCGGGAGGAAGGCCGGUGGCGAAGGCGGCGCUCUGGAACGUACCUGACGCUGAGACACGAAAGCGUGGGGAGCAAACAGG